GACCUACGGGAGGCAGCAGUGGGGAAUCUUGCACAAUGGGGGAAACCCUGAUGCAGCGACGCCGCGUGAGCGAUGAAGCCCUUCGGGGUGUAAAGCUCUUUCGGCAGGGAAGAUGAUGACGGUACCUGCAGAAGCAGCUGCGGCUAACUACGUGCCAGCAGCCGCGGUAAUACGUAGGCAGCAAGCGUUGUUCGGAGUUACUGGGCGUAAAGGGUGUGUAGGCGGUCGAUCAAGUUUGGUGUGAAAUCUCCCGGCUCAACUGGGAGGGUGCGCCGAAUACUGAUGGACUCGAGUGCGGGAGAGGAAAGUGGAAUUCCUGGUGUAGCGGUGAAAUGCGUAGAUAUCAGGAGGAACACCGGUGGUGUAAACGGCUUUCUGGACCGUAACUGACGCUGAGACACGAAAGCGUGGGUAGCAAACAGGAUUAGAUACCCUGGUAGUCAG
rnacentral:rRNA from 1 species